rnacentral:rRNA from 1 species
GAUGAACGCUGGCGGCGUGCCUAAUACAUGCAAGUCGAGCGAACAGACGAGGAGCUUGCUCCUCUGAUGUUAGCGGCGGACGGGUGAGUAACACGUGGAUAACCUACCUAUAAGACUGGGAUAACUUCGGGAAACCGGAGCUAAUACCGGAUAACAUGUUGAACCGCAUGGUUCAACAGUGAAAGACGGUCUUGCUGUCACUUAUGGAUGGAUCCGCGCCGCAUUAGCUAGUUGGUAAGGUAACGGCUUACCAAGGCAACGAUGCGUAGCCGACCUGAGAGGGUGAUCGGCCACACUGGAACUGAGACACGGUCCAGACUCCUACGGGAGGCAGCAGUAGGGAAUCUUCCGCAAUGGGCGAAAGCCUGACGGAGCAACGCCGCGUGAGUGAAGAAGGUCUUCGGAUCGUAAAACUCUGUUAUUAGGGAAGAACAAAUGUGUAAGUAACUAUGCACGUCUUGACGGUACCUAAUCAGAAAGCCACGGCUAACUACGUG